rnacentral:lncRNA from 1 species
UGCUUAGAUGCUAAAUACUUAACUUACUUGAGGACUUAAAUUUUUUUAUUUUUUUAUUAUUCUCUCUCCCUAACUUAAUCAAUAUUAUCCUCAAUGGAGUAGAAAAAUGAAGGGUGAAUAUAAAGAGAAAGAAAAAGAGAGAUGUCAUCUGAUCUAUAAAUCUUUUUAAAAUUGAUUCUUUCCUUAACUUAGCUAAUAUUAUCCUC